rnacentral:rRNA from 1 species
AUUGAACGCUGGCGGCAGGCUUAACACAUGCAAGUCGAGCGGGGAAAUGUAGCUUGCUACAUUACCUAGCGGCGGACGGGUGAGUAAUGCUUAGGAAUCUGCCUAUUAGUGGGGGACAACAUUCCGAAGGGAAUGCUAAUACCGCAUACGUCCUACGGGAGAAAGCAGGGGACCUUCGGGCCUUGCGCUAAUAGAUGAGUCUAAGUCGGGUUAGCUAGUUGGUGGGGUAAAGGCCUACCAAGGCGACGAUCUGUAGCGGGUCUGAGAGGAUGAUCCGCCACACUGGGACUGAGACACGGCCCAGACUCCUACGGGAGGCAGCAGUGGGGAAUAUUGGACAAUGGGGGAACCCUGAUCCAGCCAUGCCGCGUGUGUGAAGAAGGCCUUUUGGUUGUAAAGCACUUUAAGCGAGGAGGAGGCUACUAGUAUUAAUACUACCGGAUAGUGGACGUUACUCGCAGAAUAAGCACCGGCUAACUCUGUGCCAGCAGCCGCAGUAACAC